UGAGGGUGAUGAUUGAUAAUGCAUUCAAGCAUUUUGAUUUAUGGUUUGCAUCUUCUUGUCCAUCCCUUUGGACAUUGGUAGAUGAGGGGAAUAGCAGAAGUUUAGGAUUCUCAUUUUCAACCCUUAUCUAGUUGGUGUUGUGGCUAUUUGUCAUUGGGAGCAUCCUACAGAGAGAAUUGUCAAUUCCCAAUGAACUUUGCCGGCCAAUACAAGGAAG
rnacentral:misc_RNA from 1 species